rnacentral:rRNA from 1 species
UACGGGGGGGGCAAGCGUUGUUCGGAAUUACUGGGCGUAAAGGGCUCGUAGGUGGCCAACUAAGUCAGACGUGAAAUCCCUCGGCUUAACCGGGGAACUGCGUCUGAUACUGGAUGGCUUGAGUUUGGGAGAGGGACGCGGAAUUCCAGGUGUAGCGGUGAAAUUCGUAGAUAUUCGCAAGAACACCAGUGGCGAAGGCGGCUCACUGGCCCGGUACUGACGCUGAGGUGCGAAAGCGUGGGGAGCAAACAGGAUUA